rnacentral:rRNA from 1 species
UGGGGAAUAUUGGACAAUGGGCGCAAGCCUGAUCCAGCAAUGCCGCGUGUGUGAAGAAGGCCUUCGGGUUGUAAAGCACUUUUAUCAGGAGCGAAACGCUGUCGGCUAAUACCCGGCGGAACUGACGGUACCUGAGGAAUAAGCACCGGCUAACUUCGUGCCAGCAGCCGCGGUAAUACGAAGGGUGCAAGCGUUAAUCGGAAUUACUGGGCGUAAAGCGUGCGUAGGCGGUUUCUUAAGUCUGCUGUGAAAUCCCCGGGCUCAACCUGGGAAUGGCAGUGGAUACUGGGAGGCUAGAGUGUGUCAGAGGGUGGUGGAAUUCCCGGUGUAGCGGUGAAAUGCGUAGAGAUCGGGAGGAACAUCAGUGGCGAAGGCGGCCACCUGGGACAACACUGACGCUGAGGCACGAAAGCGUGGGGGAGCAAACAGGAUUAGGAUACCCUGGUAGUCCACGCCCUAAAGCGAUGCGAACUGGAUGUUGGUCUCAACUCGGAGAUCAGUGUCGAAGCUAACGCGUUAAGUUCGCCG